UACAGAGGUCUCAAGCGUUGUUCGGAAUUACUGGGCGUAAAGGGCUCGUAGGCGGCCAACUAAGUCAGACGUGAAAUCCCUCGGCUUAACCGGGGAACUGCGUCUGAUACUGGAUGGCUUGAAUCCGGGAGAGGGAUGCGGAAUUCCAGGUGUAGCGGUGAAAUGCGUAGAUAUCUGGAGGAACACCGGUGGCGAAGGCGGCAUCCUGGACCGGCAUUGACGCUGAGGAGCGAAAGCCAGGGGAGCAAACGGG
rnacentral:rRNA from 1 species